GAUGAACGCUGGCGGCGUGCCUAAUACAUGCAAGUCGAGCGAACGGACGAGAAGCUUGCUUCUCUGAUGUUAGCGGCGGACGGGUGAGUAACACGUGGAUAACCUACCUAUAAGACUGGGAUAACUUCGGGAAACCGGAGCUAAUACCGGAUAAUAUUUUGAACCGCAUGGUUCAAAAGUGAAAGACGGUCUUGCUGUCACUUAUAGAUGGAUCCGCGCUGCAUUAGCUAGUUGGUAAGGUAACGGCUUGCCAAGGCAACGAUGCAUAGCCGACCUGAGAGGGUGAUCGGCCACACUGGAACUGAGACACGGUCCAGACUCCUACGGGAGGCAGCAGUAGGGAAUCUUCCGCAAUGGGCGAAAGCCUGACGGAGCAACGCCGCGUGAGUGAUGAAGGUCUUCGGAUCGUAAAACUCUGUUAUUAGGGAAGAACAUAUGUGUAAGUAACUGUGCACAUCUUGACGGUACCUAAUCAGAAAGCCACGGCCAACUACGUG
rnacentral:rRNA from 1 species